GAUGAACGCUAGCGAUAGGCUUAACACAUGCAAGUCGAGGGGCAGCAUGGUCUUAGCUUGCUAAGACUGAUGGCGACCGGCGCACGGGUGCGUAACGCGUAUGCAACUUGCCUCACAGAGGGGGAUAACCCGUCGAAAGACGGACUAAUACCGCGUACACUUGGGAUAGGGCAUCCUGACCCAAGGAAAUGAAAUUCGCUGUGAGAUAGGCAUGCGUCCCAUUAGCCAGUUGGUGAGGUAACGGCUCACCAAGGCGACGAUGGGUAGGGGAACUGAGAGGUUGAACCCCCACACUGGUACUGAGACACGGACCAGACUCCUACGGGAGGCAGCAGUGAGGAAUAUUGGUCAAUGGGCGAGAGCCUGAAUCAGCCAAGUCGCGUGAAGGAUGACUGUCUUAUGGAUUGUAAACUUCUUUUAUACGGGAAUAACAAGAGCCACGUGUGGCUCCCUGCAUGUACCGUAUGAAUAAGCAUCGGCUAACUCCGUG
rnacentral:rRNA from 1 species